rnacentral:rRNA from 1 species
GAUGAACGCUGACAGAAUGCUUAACACAUGCAAGUCUACUUGAUCCUUCGGGUGAUGGUGGCGGACGGGUGAGUAACGCGUAAAGAACUUGCCCUGCAGUCUAGGACAACAUUUGGAAACGAAUGCUAAUACCGGAUAUUAUGUGAGUUUCGCAUGAAAUUCAUAUGAAAGCUAUAUGCGCUGCAGGGGAGCUUUGCGUCCUAUUAGCUAGUUGGUGAGGUAACGGCUCACCAAGGCGAUGAUAGGUAGCCGGCCUGAGAGGGUGAACGGCCACAAGGGGACUGAGACACGGCCCUUACUCCUACGGGAGGCAGCAGUGGGGAAUAUUGGACAAUGGACCAAAAGUCUGAUCCAGCAAUUCUGUGUGCACGAUGAAGUUUUUCGGAAUGUAAAGUGCUUUCAGUUGGGACGAAGUAAGUGACGGUACCAACAGAAGAAGCGACGGCUAAAUACGUGCCAGCAGCCGCGGUAAUACGUAUGUCGCAAGCGUUAUCCGGAUUUAUUGGGCGUAAAGCGCGUCUAGGCGGUUUGGUAAGUCUGAUGUGAAAAUGCGGGGCUCAACUCCGUAUUGCGUUGGAAACUGCCAAACUAGAGUACUGGAGAGGUGGGCGGAACUACAAGUGUAGAGGUGAAAUUCGUAGAUAUUUGUAGGAAUGCCGAUGGGGAAGCCAGCCCACUGGACAGAUACUGACGCUAAAGCGCGAAAGCGUGGGUAGCAAACAGG